UUAAUUUGUUCUGUGAUAAUGCUGGGCCAAGGCCUCCGGCUAAACUAGUCGGCUAAAACUCUAAAAGUAAGUUUAACCUAUAUCUGCGCUGUAAAUUUCAUGAACAGCAUGUAGUUCAGAAAGGAAUUUUCGAGGACUUUAUAUGCUUCAUGACUAUCGCUCUUUCUCUGUUCAAGAUGCUGAAUGUGCAAGGUUACACACCAAGUACAUGAACUGUAGCCCUGAAGUGUCAUAUUCACUACAAGUCUACAACAAUGUUUUCAUAAAGUGUCUAGUAUUUGCUUGAUAAUGAUUGCUGUAGCUCUGUUUAAGAUAAGAUAAGAAAGUGCCCAGUUAAAAAUUAGAUGCUGAAAGUGCAAGGUCACACACCGAAGACAUGGGCUGUUGUAACGAAGUGUCAUAUUUAGUUCAAGUCCACAACAAUCUUUUCGAGUGUUAUCUUGUGUGACAGUUAUGCAGUCAUUUCAUCAUUGAAGCACUGAUUUUUCGAUAAGCUCAAGAACACAUUUUUCGUCGACGUGAUAACAUUUGACACUACAUACAGGACCAAUUUGUAUGUCAUGCCUUUUGGCUUAUUUGUUGGUGUGAACAAUCAUUACCAGAGUGUGAUACUUGCUGGAUUGCUUGUCCUGAUGAAACCACAGAGAGUUUUGAAUUCGUUUUCUCCGAAUUCCUGAGAAUGAUGGGUGGCUCUGCAUGCAAAAUAUACUUACAUACCAGAACCGAGCUAUGGAACUGGCGAUCAAGAGCAUAAUGUCGGAUACUUCAUACCGAGGAUGACGCUGAGCCCGCACAUCUUCCUGAUAGCAAGGAAGAUGGUUUGGAUACAUUGGUGGCAAAUGACAUCGUCUCGGCAAGGCCAAGCAGGGUGGAAGAGCCGCCACGGCAGCCAUAACAGGAAGUGCAGCAAGCUGUUCAGAUGAUAUGGAACUGACAUGACCCAAGGAGCAGACGAUAUCGGCAGUAGGACAUGCGGGAGAAUUGAGCGUCGCAGUUGUGAGCCUGGAUACACAUUCAGGGGUUCACGAGAGGUUGGAGGGAGCUCAAGACAGGGAGGGCGAGGUAUUGGUGGAAAUGAUGAAGGUACACAUAUUUUCGUAAAGUUUAAGAAUUCAGCAUGUAGUAGGGGG